rnacentral:lncRNA from 11 species
UUGGAGAUGUUUUAAAACGUAUGCAAAGCCCCCUAUAACCCACUCUCUCUUUGGCAGGUUACUAUUGUCCGCUCCAGACGGCCAUCCCCUUUCCAUGUCCUGCUGGUACACUCAACACCCUGGAGGGGGCGCUCUCCUUGAAUGCAUGCAAGCCAUGCCCAGUUGGGAGUUAUUGCACUGGCCACGCAAACUGGGAACCUGAUGGCAUGUGCUCCCCCUGGGUAUUACUGUGCUGGAGGAGCUCCCUGAUGCUGUCCACAAAGCACGCCUGAAUUUCCCCUCAACGGGCCCUGCCCACGGGGACACUAUUGUCCAGAAGGCACCCGGUCCCCUGUCGCCUGCCCAGUGGGCACUCUCAAUAA